AGAGUUUGAUCAUGGCUCAGAACGAACGCUGGCGGCGUGGAUUAGGCAUGCAAGUCGAACGCGAAAGAGGGGGUAACCCCUCGAGUAGAGUGGCGAACGGGUGAGUAACGCGUGAAGAACCUGCCUUCAACAGGGGGAUAACACUCCCAACGGGGUGCUAAUACCGCAUGAGACCACGGAGCUGCAUGGCUCUGAGGUCAAAGGUGGCCUCUAUUUAUAAGCUACCGGUUGAAGAUGGCUUCGCGUCCCAUUAGCUAGUUGGCGGUGUAAAAGACCACCAAGGCGACGAUGGGUAGCUGGUCUGAGAGGAUGGUCAGCCACACUGGGACUGAGAUACGGCCCAGACUCCUACGGGAGGCAGCAGUCGAGAGGCUUCGGCAAUGGGGGAAACCCUGACCGAGCGACGCCGCGUGAAGGAUGAAGGCCUUCGGGUUGUAAACUUCUUUUGCUAGGGAAGAAAUGCGAUCAGGUGAACAAUCUGGUCGUUUGACGGUACCUGGCGAAUAAGCUCCGGCUAACUCCGUGCCAGCAGCCGCGGUA
rnacentral:rRNA from 1 species